rnacentral:ncRNA from 1 species
CAAGGAUAAAAACACGUCCCGGUAGGUAGUCCGGGAGCAGUGGCGACGCUGUCAGUAACCUGCCUCCUUGGUUGUCCGUUCCUUGCG